GAAUUUGUUACUGUUCCACAUCUUCCCAACCUUCCCGGAGUAGCUGAUACCGAAGAACAUUUCUGCCACCCUUUCGUUGUGGCAUCGAGCUGAGUUUUGCUAAAGCGGAGGAGCUAUGAAAGCUAUCAGGAACGAUUGAAGUCAAGGGUGAGUCGAGAUCAUCGAGUUCAUCAUCACUCGUGUAUGAUUUUUUCAGAAAAGCUGAUCCACUUCUUUGAAGGAAUCCGGUUCCAAUCUCGCCCAUAAAGGAAUUGAGGGAGGCUGCAGGAGGUGGUGAGUAGACUGUAGGACUUGCAAUGCACGGAUAGCUGGUGAGCGACUCUACAGAAGCAUCCGCAGUUUCCUUCAUCGUGGAAAACAAUGUAAGACAAUGCCAUUUCGCAAUAAUAUAGACAACAGUAUACUGUUCAAUUGCAACUUGAACAAUAGAAUAAUACUAAGUAGCCACGUGCAUAUUCGACCUUCUUUCAAGUCAUUGGUAAUAUCUACAAAGAGAUUUAAUUAUCAACGGAGGACCCACCUCAGAAUCCAGAGAGUCGAUAAUGUUCUGUGGAAUGGGGUCUGGACAGAAUUCGUCUUGAACAAAAUUACUAAAAACCCUCUUGAUCAAUGUCGGAUCAAAUGUCGGGCAAACCUUCAAACAGGAAAUUAGAACUAUGAGUAUGAAACAAAUGGAAUAUACCUAUAGAAUAAAGGACCUUGCUACAUGUAUAUCAAGUUUUACAUAAUGAGUUACAUAAUGUCAUAUGUCACUCUAUCAUUUAUCAAUUUAAAAUACAGUCAACUUUUUCAUUUAAUCUUUUCCCUUCAUAUCAUUUUAUGUAAUCCCUUAUGUACAAUUUUUAUGAACAAGUAACAUAAUCCUAGAAUAAAAGAUUGCUCUAGAGAAUAAACAAUUCUGUUUAGUAAAUGAGUCACCUCUUUCCUGAUGGAGUCGUCAGCUAGCAUUCCAAAGGGAAGCAUCAUGAGGUCACUUAAAGCAUGGAGACGGCGGAACGCCUUGAAAGAUUUUGGCCUCUUC
rnacentral:lncRNA from 1 species